GGUUCUACAGUGAAAGACGGUCUUGCUGUCACUUAUAGAUGGACCCGCGCCGUAUUAGCUAGUUGGUGGGGUAACGGCCUACCAAGGCGACGAUACGUAGCCGACCUGAGAGGGUGAUCGGCCACACUGGAACUGAGACACGGUCCAGACUCCUACGGGAGGCAGCAGUAGGGAAUCUUCCGCAAUGGGCGAAAGCCUGACGGAGCAACGCCGCGUGAGUGAUGAAGGUCUUCGGAUCGUAAAGCUCUGUUGUUAGGGAAGAACAAAUGUGUAAGUAACUGUGCACAUCUUGACGGUACCUAACCAGAAAGCCACGGCUAACUACGUGCCAGCAGCCGCGGUAAUACGUAGGUGGCAAGCGU
rnacentral:rRNA from 1 species